rnacentral:misc_RNA from 1 species
UCGCUGUCUUCACUUCCCCUGAAGAAACUAAUCCAGCCAUCAAAAUCCCUUUCAGUGUUCAUACAUCCAAUAUCAACCGCCCACGCAAAGCUCUCUAUUGGCUCCCAAAUCAUGAAUCCCACUUCAAGCUCUUCUUCUACCCUCACCUACCAAGUUCCAGCUCUGGAAUCCGAUCAAAUGUGCCGCGUUGCAGACCAGACCUUUGACAGAUACUCGUCGAACACGGUCAACAGGAAAGGUAAAGGGACUGCCAUUGUUUGGUUCAGGAACGAUCUAAGAAUACUGGACAAUGAGGCUUUGUUCAAGGCUUGGGCUUCUUCCGAGACCGUUUUGCCUGUGUAUUGUGUGGAUCCUCG